GGAACAGAGCGACGAAGUAGCUGGCCAGAAAUAACUAAUAAGACAUUCACUCUAAGACGGGCGGCCAACCGGCCCGGACGAACGCGCUGUCAAAGCGCCGGAUAUUGGUGAACGAACGAGUGGGUACCGCUCGGGGCCCCCAUAGAGAGGGCCCCCAACCGGAAGAGGCCGCCGAAAGGCGGUCCAUCUGU